rnacentral:lncRNA from 1 species
AAUAAAUAACAACAUUUAGCACAAAUGAUUAUACUCAAAUGUCAAGGUAUCUAAUUUACUCUUUAAUUAAUCUCAUUCUCAUUCUCCUGCUUGUUUACUUAGUUAACUCAUGAUCAUAACUUACUCUUCCCUUGUUGAAACAUUGAGUAUCAAUUGAUAAUAUAAUAAGUUCUUAACUCUUAUAACUUACCUGCGCUUGCCAUUUAUGCUUUUAACUGAACUUUCAUGAACAUGAUUCAUUUAUUAGCCCGUUGAGCUUCAUUAGAAUAAUAAGGAUACUCGGGUCUCUUAUGAUAAUAACAUGCCAAAGCCAUGUCCCAGACAUGGUCUUACAUGGGAUGUUCUCAUGUCGGUGCCUAUACCAUGUCCCACACAUGGUCUUACAUGGGACCUCUCAUCUCGGUGCCAAUGCCAUGUCCCAAACAUGGUCUUACAUGAGACCUUUCUACCCAAUGUCAUGACAUUCGUAUCCAGUACCAUCCUUAUGUAUCAACGGGAUUUUUUAAUUUUAAUUCUCUAUCAUUUCAUGCUUGGAUCAUCAUCAAAUAAAUUCAUAGUUGCUGGAAAAUAGCAGCAUUAAUAAUAAUUAUUGAAAUAUUGCAUUUAUUUACUGUAAACUUACAUUGGUACCAAAUAUAGCCCAAUUCACCAACUUAGUUUUCAACUUUAUUCUUCCCUUUGUCUAACCUUGAGUUUCGUUCUUUUUUUAUCUAAAAUAAAAAAAUUAACUCAUUUAAUGCUAACACUUAUCAAAACAGCCCUCGACUCUAACUUUGUCAAAAUUAUGAUUUAGCCCCUAAACUUUUACAUAAUUACAUUUUUCCCCAAGGCUCGGAAAUUAAACUUCAUCUCAUAUUCUUAUGUUUUAUAACAUGCUGAACAUUUUUCUCUUCUAUGACAACAUCAAAUUCUCACUCUAACAUGCAGUUGUGAACAUUAGGUAUUUUACCGAUUAUGGAGUUUUACUCGUUUUCGCUUAAAAUCGACUAGCAAAAAUUGUUUAACAUAAUUUCUACCUUCAUAUUCUACCUUAAAACAUCAAAAUAAACACUUUUCACCUAUGGGUAUUUUUCCAAAUAUAAACCCUAAGUUAAAUUAUUGCUAGAAUAAGCUAAAUUUAGCUACCGGGAUCUCAAAAACGUAAAGAACAUUAAAAACGGGGCUUGGAAUCACUUACUAUGGAGAUUGGAACCUUGAAAACCCUAAAUAUGGCUUCCCCCUUGCUGAUUUCGUUCACCAUGGAGAAGAAGAUAUUUUUGGCCAUCUUUUUCCCUUUUUAAUUCUUUUUAUUACUUGAUUACCAAAUUGCCCCUAACUUAAAAAUUUCCUAUUUCACUUAUCUCAUGUCCAUUUUUGUCUACCAACUUAACCAAUGGUCUAAUUACCAUAUAAGGACCUCCAAUUUAAAGUUUCAUAAUUGGACACCUCUAACAUGUAGAACUCAACUUUUGCACUUUUUACAAUUUAGUCCUUUUGACUAAAUUGAGUGCCCAAACGUCUAAAUUUUCGAACAAAAUUUUCACGAAGUCAUUUUGUGAAAUCGUAGACCAUAAAAAUAUAAUAAAAAUAAAAAUUUCCUCAUCGGAUUUGUGGUUACAAAACCACUAUUUCGAUAACCUUAAAUUUGGGUCAUUACAGUGGUAGUCAUCAUGAGAUAUAACCUUAAAAUUGUUAGUUCAAAUCUCUGGUGAGGAAAUUCUCUAACACAAGAACGGAACUCGAACAAAAAAAUAAGAAAUAGGGCAAGGCUCUAAGGUGUGUAUUAAGCCACUAUCUUUAAGAUUAUAUUCGUCCCCACCUAUCUUCGGUGUGCAAAUGAGUUUCAAGCAAAUUAACCUCGAUGAUACAAUGAAACCAAUGACUAUUUACGUUUUGCAUUGACAAUAAUAGUCCACUACGCACUGAGCAAUGCAUAAUAAAAACUCAAUUUCUACAAAGGAUUUCUGCAGCAAUACUUUAUAGAAUAAUCUAAUAAUAUUAGAAAAUGAAGGAAGGAAAGAAAGAAUAUUAAAAUUUGUUGGUGUGUUUUCCAAAUGAAAUCUCAUUCCUAUUUAUAGGAAUUUUCAUGUCUUUUCAUAGAGACAUCUUUCAUCAAUAGGUGUCUUUCUGAAUAAUAAUGUCUUUAAAGUAAACACAUAAUUAUUCAUUUAAUAUUAUAACUAUUCAAAUAGUUAUAAUUCUUUAUCAAAAAAUCAAAUAAUAUAAUCUUUUGAUUAAUUACACCCAUUCAUUUAUAGUUAUUAGAACACUAUAAAUAUUUAAAAAUGUUACAACAGAAUUGGGAGGUGAGGAUUAUGCAUACAUACAAGGUAAUAGAGUUGCUAAUACUACAGCCAAUCUGGCAAUUAACAAGCCCAUCGGAUUUCAUGUUUACAACAAUCCACCAGAUGAGAUAUUGCAGGUUCUUCAGGAUGAUGUGGAAGGUAAGGCUAUUCCAAGCUUUAUUGUGAUGCAGUUAAUUUCAUUUUGAUCUCUUAACUUUUCAAGAUUUUAGUCAUUGUAAUGCCUCAAAUUUAAGGUUUAAAUCCAUUAGUUUAUAGGGUCAUUCUUAAAAGUUCACAUUUCUAAAGAAAUAAUAACAUCAAAUUUACAACCCAAACUUGUGCAUUCAUAUUGUACUUGUAUAUUUGAUAGUAUUUUUUCCUUUUUCGUGUUGAGUAAUCCAACUUUAUCUAAUAUUACCUGGUCUAAACCCAUGUGCAUGCCCUCACAAAAUGCCAAACUUCAACGCAUUAUUGAAUCACCAGAUAAGAUGCAAAGGAAAAGACACUUUUUGAAUGGUGGAAAAUUUGAGUUCCUCAAAGAGAACAUAGCAUAUCUUUCUCCAUUUCAUUAUAUUUAUGCAGGCAUGUUGUUGGAACAUGAGAAACCAAAGCUUUAUAAUGUUCUAACGAAUAAAUAGUUCGGUUUUGCAGUUUUCGUGAAAUGAUGCAGCCGGUCGCAGCAAUAGUUCGUUCUUCAGAAUACAUUCCUAUUCCCCCCAACUCAAUAUGCUGUUAGAAAAGAGCUGAGAGUUGUUCUACAAUGACGAAACCUAGCUGUUUUCGAGAUUGUAAAAGAAGGUAGCUACAGAAAACUUGGAAAAUCUUGUGCCGUUUUGCUUUAGCACGAAGAUACGAGAAGUACUCUAGUAAGAAACUCAGUUUCCUAUUCCGUAUUUCAUGUUAUUUUGUAUUACUAUGUUCUGUACUUUAAGAGAAUUGCUCUUGGGAGUCAUUCUAUAGAUGUAAUGCAUCAAUUUGAUCUAAUAAUGAGUCAUUAACAUUAUGUUCUUGCUAAAUAACAUGAACACGAACAUGAACAGCAGUACAAGCAACCGGCCUCUUAUUCGGAACCUUUUUGUGAAUUCAUUUUAGGAGCAGAAAGAAAACAUUGGAGGCAAUCCAUCUAGGAUAUGCGAUCGGAAUUACUGAGUGCCAAGGUGUAUGAUCUCUUUCUGAGCACCCUCGAUGAACUUCGGAUUCAGUAGGGAACACAGAUCCUGUGUGUAUUAGGACCAGCUACCAUAUCAUGCCAAAGCAGAUCGGAGAGUGCCAUUGUCAACUCUCCCACUUUUCCUAUAAGGGAAAAUAAGCAGACUUUGGUAAGAACAUAUGCACUAAUCCGUCGUUGUUAAGCCAAAAAUCAGGAGGCGGACUAAUCAAGCAAGGCAAUAUUGUUACAUAUGCAAGGAAUAGAUGCACUCAAACGAUAAGUCAUGUUCGAUUCUACUAGAAAAAUAAUGUCUAAAGCAUGUUUGGAUGUAUUUUAAGGCUUUCGAAACAUUAGAUUGUACAUACCAUCUCCGAUGGGAUGUUCGUCCCACAUGAUGAUUGGCAAUAUCGGUAGCGUACUUCCUAUAUACAUAAUUUCUGCUGCACCUUUGGCUUCCAUGACGGUAAGAUUGGCAGUUUUGACACUUUUAAGACGCCCUUGCUUGACCAACUUAGGUGCUAAUUCAAGAAGCCUUUUUGCAGUACAUCCGCUUAGGAUCCUAUCGAAUGAAGGAAAAAUAAGUUCCUUAUCAUUGGUUAUAAAUGCGACAUUCACAUUAGGGCCCUCCGCAAUAAAACCAUCAUCGUCAACCCAAAUCGAAGCAUAUGCACCCUUGUCUUCAGCUUCCAUUAUUGAAAGAACAUUCGGCAAGUAAUUUACAUUCUUCAUUGUAGCAAACUGAGGUGCUUUCAUAGGGAUAGUCGAAGUUAUCACUUUAACCCCGUUUUUGCAUUGCGAGACAACGUCGGCAAUGACUACAGCGUAGAAUGCAGAAGUAGGGCAUUUGGCAGGAGAAAGCAAGAAAUUACCAGGACCGGCACUCAACCAGUACCGUAGAGUUCCUUCCUUGCACUGUGAUGCGGCGGUUAAUUGCACAAGAAUACUACGAAGAGUUGAUCGAGGAAAUGGAAGGGUGAUUCUUGCUUUCGAUGCCGACCGAAGGAAGCGAUCUAAAUGAGCAUCCAGCUCAUAGAGGUAACUACAAAAAUAGGAUAGGUUAUAUUAAGCUUUAUAAACAUAUAUUAACUAAUGCCUCAAAGAGAUAUCAUGAACUCGUGGGUUCAUCUAACAGGUUGGGGAUUCGAAUCUCGACACCUAUAACACCUCUCUCGAUCCCAAACUAUCGGUCUCCUUUGUACCGAAAAUAGGGAAACCAGGGACCUACCCAUCUAGAAUGACUGCUGUAUCGAAUACACCGUGGCCUCGAUGAACCAUGUGAUCAUCUAUGGGAAUUACCAUCAUGGCAGGGUCAAGAAUGAUCCCUCCGAAAACGCUGGAAUACAUAGCCGGAUAUGGUUUCUUCUUCACCGGACUCCACUUCUCGUGCAGCUUUUCG